rnacentral:rRNA from 1 species
AAUACAUGCAAGUCGAGCGAACAGAUAAGGAGCUUGCUCCUUUGACGUUAGCGGCGGACGGGUGAGUAACACGUGGGUAACCUACCUAUAAGACUGGGAUAACUUCGGGAAACCGGAGCUAAUACCGGAUAACAUUUGGAACCGCAUGGUUCUAAAGUGAAAGAUGGUUUUGCUAUCACUUAUAGAUGGACCCGCGCCGUAUUAGCUAGUUGGUAAGGUAACGGCUUACCAAGGCGACGAUACGUAGCCGACCUGAGAGGGUGAUCGGCCACACUGGAACUGAGACACGGUCCAGACUCCUACGGGAGGCAGCAGUAGGGAAUCUUCCGCAAUGGGCGAAAGCCUGACGGAGCAACGCCGCGUGAGUGAUGAAGGGUUUCGGCUCGUAAAACUCUGUUAUUAGGGAAGAACAAACGUGUAAGUAACUGUGCACGUCUUGACGGUACCUAAUCAGAAAGCCACGGCUAACUACGUGCCAGCAGCCGCGGUAAUACGUAGGUGGCAAGCGUUAUCCGGAAUUAUUGGGCGUAAAGCGCGCGUAGGCGGUUUCUUAAGUCUGAUGUGAAAGCCCACGGCUCAACCGUGGAGGGUCAUUGGAAACUGGGAAACUUGAGUGCAGAAGAGGAAAGUGGAAUUCCAUGUGUAGCGGUGAAAUGCGCAGAGAUAUGGAGGAACACCAGUGGCGAAGGCGACUUUCUGGUCUGUAACUGACGCUGAUGUGCGAAAGCGUGGGGAUCAAACAGGAUUAGAUACCCUGGUAGUCCACGCCGUAAACGAUGAGUGCUAAGUGUUAGGGGGUUUCCGCCCCUUAGUGCUGCAGCUAACGCAUUAAGCACUCCGCCUGGGGAGUACGACCGCAAGGUUGAAACUCAAAGGAAUUGACGGGGACCCGCACAAGCGGUGGAGCAUGUGGUUUAAUUCGAAGCAACGCGAAGAACCUUACCAAAUCUUGACAUCCUUUGAAAACUCUAGAGAUAGAGCCUUCCCCUUCGGGGGACAAAGUGACAGGUGGUGCAUGGUUGUCGUCAGCUCGUGUCGUGAGAUGUUGGGUUAAGUCCCGCAACGAGCGCAACCCUUAAGCUUAGUUGCCAUCAUUAAGUUGGGCACUCUAGGUUGACUGCCGGUGACAAACCGGAGGAAGGUGGGGAUGACGUCAAAUCAUCAUGCCCCUUAUGAUUUGGGCUACACACGUGCUACAAUGGACAAUACAAAGGGCAGCUAAACCGCGAGGUCAUGCAAAUCCCAUAAAGUUGUUCUCAGUUCGGAUUGUAGUCUGCAACUCGACUACAUGAAGCUGGAAUCGCUAGUAAUCGUAGAUCAGCAUGGUACGGUGAAUACGUUCCCGGGUCUUGUACACACCGCCCGUCACACCACGAGAGUUUGUAACACCCGAAGCCGGUGGAGUAACCAUUUAUGGAGCUAGCCGUCGAAGGUGGGACA